CCUACGGGGGGCUGCAGUAGGGAAUCUUCCACAAUGGACGCAAGUCUGAUGGAGCAACGCCGCGUGAGUGAAGAAGGUUUUCGGAUCGUAAAACUCUGUUGUUGGAGAAGAACGUAUUUGAUAGUAACUGAUCAGGUAGUGACGGUAUCCAACCAGAAAGCCACGGCUAACUACGUGCCAGCAGCCGCGGUAAUACGUAGGUGGCAAGCGUUGUCCGGAUUUAUUGGGCGUAAAGCGAGCGCAGGCGGUUUCUUAAGUCUGAUGUGAAAGCCUUCGGCUCAACCGAAGAAGUGCAUCGGAAACUGGGAAACUUGAGUGCAGAAGAGGACAGUGGAACUCCAUGUGUAGCGGUGAAAUGCGUAGAUAUAUGGAAGAACACCAGUGGCGAAGGCGGCUGUCUGGUCUGUAACUGACGCUGAGGCUCGAAAGCAUGGGGAGCAAACAGGAUUAGAUACCCCAGUAGUC
rnacentral:rRNA from 1 species